rnacentral:tRNA from 1 species
GAUAAGUUGGCAGACAAGUGCAAAUGAUUUAGGAUCAUUAAAUGAAUAAUAAUUCACUUAUUA